rnacentral:rRNA from 1 species
AUGUUCAACUUCCCGGUGAUCUCCUACACCAUCGGCCUGAUGCAGUCGUCGUCCAUCCGGAACGAGCUCUUCGUCGUGUGGGCCUGCUUCCUCCUCCUCCUCCUCGGCAGCGCUGACACCAUGACGGCGUUUAGCUUCAACGACAGCAGCCAGCAGACAAGAUCCAUGAUGAACCAGGCCCUGCACGUCGUCUACCUGCUGUUUCUCAUACUCUACUACAAAGGUCAGCUCCGUGGCAGCUUCCUCAUCAGUUUGUUUCUGCUCUGGGGCUUAAGUGUUGUAAGGCUAGGCCUGAGGGGUAAGGCCUACCGGUCAACGUGCCGGUCCCGUGGGCUCAUCAGGGAAAACCAAGUCGUGUUCGAGUACAUGAAGUAUGAACCACUGAACAGUGCUGGUAUCCAAGGUGGUACCUGCAAUGCAGAAACCAUGGAGGGGUACAUCUACCUUGUGGACGGCAAGGAAGUGAAGGAGGUGCAGGAUGGGGAAGAGGUCAUACGCGUGGCUUACCGCGUGCCGGAAACAGUGGUGGACGUCCCCGGAACGGAGACGGUGGGCGUCGCGGGAGCCGAAACCGAAACGGGGCCCGUUGCCAGAUUAAGGGUGGAUGCCGAAAAAACGGUAGACAUCGCAAGAAUCUGGCAAUGCAAAGGGAAGUUACUGCAAUGUACUAGCAGCAGCGAUCAAGGCGCUUCGAGGUGGAGGGACUUGUGCCUCUCCUUUGCUCUCUUCAGGAUUCUCAGGCUAAGGUUUGCAGCUGAUCAUGUUGGCUCUAUAAGCUUCCCCUUUCAGGAGGACAAGUGUCGAGAUUUCGUUGUCAAAGGGCUCCUCUCGGAUGAUAAAGAUCUCGACAGAGCAUUCCGGGUAGUCGAGGCAGAGCUCGGCUUCCUCUUUGAUUUCUUUUAUGCUCGGUACCCGUCCAUCAAAGACACCCUAGCUCCCGAUUUGAUAGUGUAUGCUGCGAUCCUUGCAACCAGCAUAUUUACUCUCUUCUCCCCGGACCUCCUCAAGUACCAGCCUACAGGGGUCAAUGCAAACAUCUUUAUCCAUGGCUUCAAUCUUGAUCUUCUCGUCACUCGUUUGGUCAUCGUGUGGUACAUACUUCUUGAGUCAUACCAGUUCCUUUCUUUGUUCAUCUUCUCCGACUGGCACAAGGUGAAGAUGCUGUGCCGGUAUGUGCGGAAGGAGUCAUGGCAUAAGGCUCUCAUUGAGAUCCCACUCAAGGUCCUCUGCUAUUUCACCUUCUCAAAGUACUGGAAGGGAAGCAUCGGUCAGUACUUCAUCCUCGACAACGCCCAUCCUCACCCGGUCAAGUCCUUCCUAUCAUGGAUAUCACUCGAGGCCCUGGACUCAUCACUGAUGACUAAAUCCAUCAGCUUGCCACUGGAAGUGAGGGAAGCUGUCCUCCGCCAACUCAAGGCCAUCGAGGGCAACAUCACUGACGGAAGGUUGUGGCUAUAUGGGAAGGGUAUCGUCGACCUGGAUCUUGACCGCGAGUGCUUGCUUGGCCACACGUAUGCCCGCUACAUCAUGACAUGGCACAUAGCCACAAGCAUCUGCAGCUACGGCCUAAACUUGCCGAGCAAGGACAAUGGCAGCAAAGAGGUGGCAGAGCUCACCAGCGAAGAGGCGGCAGAGCUCGUCAAGAACCAUGCGCUCGCCACUAAGCUGUCCGGGUACUGUGCAUAUCUGAUGGCCUUCAAACCGGAUCUGGUUCCGGGCAGCACUUACACGAGCUUGUCAAUGGCCCGCGGCACGCUGCACAACGCCCGUAAGUACCUUGCCGGGUGCAAGUCCAACGAGGAGAAGUACCUUAAACUGAUCGAGUUAGGGAGCUCAGGUUCCACAGACCACGAUGUCCGCUUUCUGUCCGAGGGGGCAAGGAUCGCUGCUUACCUCGUUGACAGCCGCAGGAUUGCAAACAACAAGGAACGAUGGAGGGUGCUCGCCACCUUCUGGGCGAACAUGAUGCUGUGGAUCGGCUCAUCGGACAGAGCAGAGGCACAUGCCACCAGGAUGGCAACCGGCGGGGAGUUCAUAACACUCAUAUGGGCUCUGCUCACACAUGCCCACGUAGUAGACAAGCUUCAGGAGGAUGGUGGUGCCCCAGGAUUGCAUAUGCAGGAGCUUCCUCCUCAAACAGGGGCGCAGGGCUCCUGA